rnacentral:rRNA from 1 species
AUGUCUUCCACCUCCGGCGCAUCCCAAACCAGCCUCAAUAGCCAAGUUACCGAGAAGCUAACCCGCACAAAUUAUGUGCUAUGGCGCACGCAAGUCAUCCCUCAGCUGCGCAGCGUCGGUGUCUACGGCUACGUCGACGACACCCAGCCGGAGUCGGCGAAAUCCCUCGUCACCACCAAGGACGGCAAGGAGGUUUCGUCAACGCCCAACCCUCUCCACCCAAUCUGGGUCCGGGAGGAUCAGCAGGUUCUGGGAUACCUGCUGAACAACCUGACGCGUGAGGUGCUGCUCACGGUGACCACGGUCACCACCGUGGGCGCGCUCUAGACGACGCUCGUUGGGAUGUUCUCGUCUCAGUCUGCCAGCCGCAUCAACAACAUACGAACGUCCCUCAUCAACGCGCAGAAGGGGAGUCUCUCUGUUGCCUCCUACUUCGCCGCCAUGCGCGGCUACGCCGAUGAGCUAGCCGCCGCAGGCAAGGCGAUCCCCGACGACAAACUCGCCUCCUACAUCAUCCAUGGGCUCGACGCCGACUAUCAGCCUCUGGUGUCUGCCCUCGACGCUCGCGUGACCGGGGUAACCCUUGAUGAACUCUUUGCCAUGUUAUCCAAUUUUGAUCAGCGCAUGGCUCACUUCCAGGGGGCCGGUGGCGGCGGCUUCAAAUUAUCCGCGAACGCGGCCACUCGCGGGCGGGGCGGCGGCUCUCGCUCCCGUGGCUCCUCUCGCAACAAGGGCAGGUCCGGCGGCAACAACCGUGGCGCUGCGCCACCCUAA